rnacentral:rRNA from 1 species
UACGUAGGUGGCGAGCGUUAAUCGGAAUUAUUGGGCGUAAAGGGCGCGUAGGCGGCUUGGCAAGUGGAUGGUGAAAUCCCUCGGCUUAACCGAGGAACUGCCGUCCAAACUGCUUCGCUUGAGACCGGGAGAGGUGAGUGGAAUUCCCAGUGUAGCGGUGAAAUGCGUAGAUAUUGGGAGGAACACCAGUGGCGAAGGCGGCUCACUGGACCGGUACUGACGCUGAUGCGCGAAAGCGUGGGUAGCGAACGGG